rnacentral:lncRNA from 1 species
GACAGGAGGGGACACGUGACUGAAGAACGAACACCAAGAAAAGUCUUGCGCUCAGCCAUUUGUCUAAUACAAAAUCCUUUGAUGUGUUUGCAUGUCUGACUUCCGGUUCAGAAAAUGGUCAGUGGUAACGAACUUCCCUCAGCAACAACAAAUCGACAUGGGCCACCGUCACUAUGGUGGCUUCCAAGCAUUGAGAGAAAAUACAUACAAGCCCUGGCUUUUUGUUAUUAACUACUGCUACUGCUUCCUCAGUUGUUCUUCCUGUGACAAAGCAUUGGAAAACACCAAGUACAUGUGGUAGUCUCUCUCUCUCUCUCUCUCUCUCUCUCUCUCUCUUGCUCUCUCUCGCUCUCUCCCUCUCUCUCCCUCUCUCCCCCGCUCUCCCUCUCACUCACUCUUAUGUUGGUUUAAGAGGCGAAUCAUCAAUCCAGUCAUUAAAACCUAUUAUCAUCCACAUAUAGGCAAUAGUUCUUAGCCAUCGAACUAAAACGGAAGCCAUUAUUUUGGAAUGUGUAGGAAUGUGGGGGAAGUUGGCACAGAGUAGUGGAUGGAUAUGAUCAUAUUUGACUGGAUACAUAUAAAAAAUCUCCAAGAAAAAAUAAUAUGACGGAGAAUGAAAUCAGGGUGUCACUAAGAAGGAUGAAAGUUUGGCGCCCUCUAAAGGCACCCAGCCUUCUGAUGCCUUUACCUCUUGUCCAUUGGAGGGUGUGGGAAAGG